rnacentral:lncRNA from 1 species
GCCUGGCAGUACCCAGGUCUUAAUCAGGGUCAUGAAAACAGCAUUUGACUGCUGUAAAGAGGGUUGUGAGGUGGCUGCUGUCGCUAUUCCUAUUUCCUGUUCUUUUCAGAAAAGAGAAAUCAUCAGACUAUGAAAACAUAUCGUCGCUCAAAAGAAAGGGCCCCAUCUUUCUAAGAGUUCCAAGGAGCUGUCUCCAUCUUAACCGGAACCAUUGUUCUUAAAAAAAUC